CUUAGAGGUUACAGGAUUUGCCCGGGGUCACAUGGCUGUGACACAACUAUGAGAACCUUGUUUUAAUUUUAGCAUCUCUUAUGUACUGCCUACCUCAUAACCUUCUUGUCUUAGUUGAUUUGUGCUGCUGUAACAAAAUAUCUCAGCCUGGAUAAUUUAUAACUGUAUGUUAAUUUCUCACUGUUCUGGAGGCUGGGAAGUCCAAGAUCAUGUGACCAUGCUGCUGGUGGUCUGUGUCUGGUGGACACAGAAUCAUCAGACUUCAGAUCUUCCUCUCUCGAGUCAGCCAUGGUCUGUUCCAGGUCACAUCACUGUGGGACAGACAGAGGCUGAGGCAGGACCAGGCCUCCCCAGCCUCCACGUCGUCGUCCACACUUCUUUUCCUCAAUGUGCCUGGGGAUUCUGCAAAAUGUGAUUUCAGGGCAAAAUAUGAAUCCCCCGAGUCAGGAGGAUUUUUCUGAGUAUCCAUCCUCUUCAGAUUCCUACACCCAACACCAAUUCCUAUCUGGGACUUGCCUUUCCAUGAGACCUUGAUCACCACAUGGCUUCAAAAGGCUCAAGUCUUUACCUGCUAGCCAGCUUGGAAGCAGACCAAGGAAAGCCUCAAAGCCACUCCCAGGACAAUCACUUGGGCCUCAAGGAAUAUCUGCCAUGGAAUAUUACAGCAGAAAAAGACCUGUCAGCUCCUCAGUCAUUCUCCAAGGUGAUAUUAACAGGAGGGCAUCUGCAAAGAAACCUCUUUACUGGCUUCUCCAUCUGGGAGCAGCCCUGGCUGCAUCAAUUCCUCCCCUUGAAACCACCAAUCCGGCAGAUGGAUGCGACUGCACAGCUUUCCAGGGAAUUUCCUGAGUAUCUUUCAUGUCAGUGAUAUCUGUGAGAAACAGGAAACUGUUUUCCCAUCUCAUUCACAUAAUAGAUAAGAUGAGAAAUUAGCUGCUGGAUGAACCUGGGGGCUGUUCAUUUUGUCACAAUAAAUAAGGCUCUGCUCAUGCUGGCGCUGCC